UCACGUUUAUAUUACGUCACGUGUGUUCGGUCACGUUCGUGUACGGAUUCCACACGUCACACGUUCGAUUACGCGAUCGUUUCGGAGUCAAACCGGUCCUAAGUUUCGAUACCGUUCGAUUGCGUAACGAACGUUCGACGUGCGGAAUCCGUGAACGUACGUGACCGAACACACAAUAACGUACAAGAAAACGUGA
rnacentral:pre_miRNA from 11 species